rnacentral:rRNA from 1 species
GGGCCCGCACAAGCGGUGGAGCAUGUGGUUUAAUUCGAUGCAACGCGAAAAACCUUACCAGGCCUUGACAUCCAGAGAACUUACCAGAGAUGGUUCGGUGCCUUCGGGAACUCUGUGACAGGUGUUGCAUGGCUGUCGUCAGCUCGUGUCGUGAGAUGUUGGGUUAAGUCCCGUAACGAGCGCAACCCUUAUCCUUACUUGCCAGCACGUAAUGGUGGGAACUUUAAGGAGACUGCCGGUGACAAACCGGAGGAAGGAGAGGAUGAUGUCAAGUCAUCAUGGCCCUUACGGCCUGGGCUACACACGUGCUACAAUGGGAAGUACAAAGGGUCGCAAUACCGCGAGGUGGAGCAAAUCCUCAAAACCAGGCCCAGUUCAGAUUGUAGUCUGCAACUCGACUACAUGAAGUCGGAAUCGCUAG